AGGGAUUUAGCUCAGCGGCAUAAGCACCUGCCUGGCAAGCAUGAGGUCAUGAGUUCAAUCCCUA
rnacentral:tRNA from 1 species